UCCACCCGUUGUGGUGCUCCCCCGCCAAUUCCUUUAAGUUUCAGCCUUGCGGCCGUACUUCCCAGGUGGCUCGCUUCACGGCUUCCCUACGGCACCGACAACGGUCGCACCGUGGCCGACACCUAGCGAGUAUCGUUUACGGCUAGGACUACCCGGGUAUCUAAUCCGGUUCGUGCCCCUAGCUUUCGUCCCUUGCCGUCAGGUCCGUUCUGGUGAGACGCCUUCGCCACUGGUGGUCCUUCAAGGAUUACAAGAUUUCACCCCUACCCCUGAAGUACCUCUCACCUCUCCCGGCCUCGAGCCGAACAGUAUCUCCUGAAAGCCCAACAGUUGAGCUGCUGGAUUUCUCAAGAGACUUAUCCGGCCGGCUACAGACCCUUUAGACCCAAUAAUAACGGUUACCACUCGAGCCGCCGGUGUUACCGCGGCGGCUGGGACCGGUCUUGCCCGGCCCUUGCUAUGCAAUGCUUUUUAGGCAUCACGACAGCCAGAUUUGUAACCUGGCACUCGAGGUCCCCUUAUCGCCGUUGCCGGCAUUGUAAAGUUUUCGCGCCUGCUGCACCCCGUAGGGCCUGGAUUCGUGUCUCAGAAUCCAUCUCCGGGCUCUUGCUCUCACAACCCGUACCCGUCGUAGGCUAGUAGGUACGCUACACCCACUACUACCUGAUAGGCCGCAGACCCAUCCUCUGGCGCCGGAGCUUUCGAUCUCG
rnacentral:rRNA from 1 species